rnacentral:lncRNA from 1 species
AUGCAUUGUCUUUUGAUAUUACCCCUUAUUUGUAGCUAUAUGUGAGAUUUGACUUCUAAAACUCAUAUAUGGUGCAUACUGGUUUUGUCCUUAAAAUCGGGUAUUACAUACUUAUUUGAAAAUUUAUAUAGAGAUAAGCAAUUUUAUUCUUUUCUAUCAUGUGAACUUAAAUGCAACAUUAAAUGCUUAAUCUUUUGAUCUUACCACUCAUAAAUAAAUAAAUCAUAUAACACAACUUUAUCUUGUUUAAUGUGCCUAAGGAUGGAGAAAAAUAAAUAAAAAAUAGAUUUGGUUCUGUUGGUGUUUUUCUACCAGCAGAGCCCAUGCACUUAAUCUCUACUUUAGUUUUGCAAACAGGACGACACAUCAAGCAAAGUUUAUUAAUUCUACAAGUAAAAGUUCUAUGAGCAUGCACACUGAGCAAGAUGCUGCCAACUGCUAUUAAAACUCUCCUUUAACUCAAGAACAAAGGCAACACUUUCUCUUAUAAGCAUGAGCCCCUCCAUGAGGACCACUCAGCUUCAACGAGAGAGAGAGAGCCAAAAGAGACAUAAGUGAGAUGGAAGAAGGCACGUGCGGCAUCACCAUGAAAUAGGGAGUUGCCUGCGGGUACCUCAGACGAUGAACCCACUGAGUAAGUGUUCUCCUCUAUCUAAAGUCCUGUCGGUAAACUUUAAAUUUUACAUCAUUGUCAUAAGGUAAUAUGGUAGUUAUCUAAUUAAUUAGUAUUACUAUCUGCAUUAAUAAUUUCACUUUAAUAUUUUUAUCUGCGUAAAUAUAAAAAAUAAAAUAAAAUAAAUCUUUAUUGCUUCAUUUACUGCAUCAUAAAAUAUUAAAAGCUCCACAGGAAUAAACUUAUGGUAACCCUAUAGGAAUAUUUACUGUGGUGACAUAAAUAAUAAUAAUAAUAAUAAUAAUAAUAAUAAUAAUAAUAAUAAUAAUAAUAAUAAUAAUAAUAAUAAUAAUAAUAAUAAUAAUAAUAAUAAUAAUAAUAAUAAUAAUAAUAAUAAUAAUAAUAAUAAUAAUAAUAAUAAUAAUAAUAAUAAUAAUAAUAAUAAUAAUAAUAGCUUCUGCAUUUACUUUCUUGCAUUAUGAAAAAUCUAAGCUCCAUAAGAAUAAAUAUUCUCUGUGGAGGCAUAAUAAUACAACUAUACAUCAUGUACACAUAUUUCAUUACUGCAUAAUUCAACUAGAAAAUCCUAAAAAAGAGAGAAUUCUGCUAGAAUCUGUCAAUUCAAAUCAACUCAUAAGAAUAAUCAAUCACUUACAGGCUGACCGCUAACCCAUUAUUAAAUUCAAGCCUCGAGUUUUGGUUUUCUUUUUGAAGUGUAAUUAUGCAGGAAUAAUAUUAUGACAAGGAGAGAGUCUAUUAGUGGCACCCACCUGGAGCGCUGCCAGUUAGCUCACUUUGAAGAUCAUCAACACCAACUAUUGCAAACAUCUAGCUUGGGGGAGGAGCAUCCCCCAGUUAUCAGGUAACUAUACCUAUGCGAUUAUCGAUUCUGUUUUAUAUAGUCAUAAAAUACCAAAACUAUAUGGGCACAUGAAGGUCCAUGUCUUUAAAGUCUUGUGAGUCCAAUAGAAAUAAAAAAAAACCAAGAAAAAUACUUAUCUAUAUAUUAAGGUGUGAUCAUAGAGUGUGUCUAGAGUCAGUCUAGUUUAGAGUCAAAUAAAAAUUAGAGAAUAUUAAAAUUUUAUCUUCAAGAUGAUGAAUAGUUGCUCUGCAGUAAUUCCUUUCAAGUGCCUAGUUUUCAACCAUGAAUUCUUCUGAGUUUUGGACAUGACUACUUCAAUAUAACAAUUUACUCUGAACCUAAAAUUUGUGGAGGCAUAUGUUUAAGCUGAGUCUAGGUAAUUGAUUGAUAUUAUACAUGAAGGUCUAAGUUGCUAUUUAUCUUAUUCCUAGCAUUACCAAGUUCUCGAGAUUUAUUUUCAAAAACCCAAAAUCUUACAUGAUGAGCUCUUGUAUGAUAAAGUUUAAAUUCCUACCAAAGCCAUAUAUGAUACAUUUAGAGUUAGGAAAACCUUUGCGCAUUUAUGCUUCUUGCUUUGCAUUAAGUUUAGUCAACCUUUGUUGUAUACCUUAUAAGAGUCUCGGCAUGCUUUUAAAAUCAAGAUCACUUAUGCACUCCACCCGUAUAUGCAUUACUCCUACUCUGGGAGUAAGCGCAAUUAUUUUCCACUUUCAUCCAGAUCCACCUUAAAAAAAUGUUUUCUCCUACACUAGAAGUAAACACCAAAAAAUAUACCCUUUAGGACAGCCCCCACUCAAUUGCUCUAAGUUCUUAUCAUUAUCUCUUCAACUAUUUAUAUUCAAAGGAUGCAUGUGGCUAUGCAAAAGUAUCUAAAAAGGAAAAAAAAGAAGAAAAAAAGGGAGUAAAAGAUGGACAAGUGUCCCAGCAAUUAAAACAAUGGGUACAUCGAUGCCCACCUCCCAUAGUAAUGAAAAAAGAGAGAAAGAGAGAAUAAAGAUAACCCAUGUUUUCGUGCGAAAAGUUCUAAGGAGGGAGUAAUUUUCAAGAGCAAAAGUAGAAUUAGGAUUAGCCACUAAAUACUAUAUAUACACCUAUCCACUAUAUUCCAUACACAUGCACAUCUUGAUUUGAUUGAAUGCCUCGAUUCUCUAUGGAUCCAGACUUUACAAUAUAUAAAAUGCAAGUAUGUUCAUCCUUAUUAUUGCCACUCCUAUAAGCUCCACUAUAUAUAUCCUUAGUUGUAGGAAGGCAUAACCUCAUUAAUGCUUCAGUAAGAUCCAUAAAUACUACAUAAUAAGAGACUUGAUUGUGUUAUACAAUUAAGCUCUAAGUUUUAUUUCGAAAACUUGCAAAACUCUGGAAUAUUGGUACUGUGAAGAAUUUGAGACAUAGUGCUUACUUGAUUGUUCUAUUUUUUGAUUACUUAAGACUUAUGCAAAAGCUGUAAAGCUCCAUGGUUAAAGGUAAAAUGGGUAAGUUUGAAAGUUAGACCAAAGAACAAUUUAUGUUUAAACGCAAGUGUACUUAAAAGAAAUAAAAGUAUUGUAGCAAAUCCUGAUCCAAGUUUAUCAAUUAGGCUUGGGUUGUUACCAUGGGACUGGCAAAAGGUAAGCUUGGGGGAAUUGUUGACGGUCGAUAACGUCAAUUUUUAUUAGAACUUUAGACUCGAAAGAAAACAUGAAUACACACUAGUAUAGGGUUUAAACUAACAAUUUUCAUGAGUUUUGCAUAUUCUAUAUUUUCUAGGGUUUAUUUCACAGAGAGCUGAAAAGAGGGAUUCUAGUGCAUAUUUACCACGAAACUCAUCCGCGCAGGAAAACAUCACGAGAAGACUCAAGAGGGUUCUAGAAGACACCCGAAGAAACGAGAGCCGCGGAGAAGGAAAGGUGGGGUCGGCCGGCCCCACUCUAGGGCCGGUCGGCGCCCUGUUUUGCCCGAUGCCCGCCGCCUUCUGGAGUCUUCCUCCUACGCAUCCUUCGAAGCCAAGCAAAGUACCCCUCCGUCGAUUUUAAGUCGCUUUGAUCCGAGGGUGCACACAAGAUGAAGACGCAGAUCGCUGACGUGGCGGUUCCUUGCCCCCUACUCCACCUCGGCCUAUAUAAUGACGCCCAAGGCUCCCCCUAAGAGGCAUUCUACACCCCGGUGCUUCAUAUUCUCUACAUAAUUAGGGUUAGGGUCCCUCUAGUUGAUCUAGUUCUAGUUCAUCUAGAUGUAGCAAUUAGGAGAGACUAGUUCUUCUAGAUCUAGUCUUGUUUAUAGAUUAAAGAGAUUAAGUAGAGCAGUAGAGAUUCUGGAGGAGUUCUGGCCUGUUGGUGCUUCUUCGUGGUUGUAUUCCUCUGGAUUCAGUUCCCUCGCUCGGAGCUGCGUUCUGAGGUACUUUUGUACUUACCCUUCUGGUUUAAGUAAGCAACUUGUUCUUAUUCGUUCUUUGGUUUACAACUCACAUUGAGUGCUUUGAUCUUGGUCAUAACUUGGUUGAAGUAGUAUUUCGUAGUGUAGGCGUGGUGUCUAGGCUAGGUUUACUUGUGAAUGUCCUCUGAUCAGCCGGAUAGUGGUAGUUCACGUAGGUGACAGCUGCGUUGAUUUCUCUGUAGUCCACGUCCCGUUGAUAUGAUUGAUAGGCUUAUAGGUGCCUGAUAGGGGAUUACUCUGAUUCCUCCCCUACUCGGGUUACUUGCCUGAUAAGACGGUAUUAUACAAAGUGUACCGGAGUCGGAACUAGAGUGCAUUAGUUAUUUCUUUUUUCUUGAUAUGAUCUAGCCUAAUUAUAGGGUUAAGUCUAUAUACUAUGUCAUCAUCACAACAGUUCCCUAUGGAUACAAUAUUUAAAACCUCCAGAUAAAAUGUGACACUGGUAUGAUAUAUGUGCGCUUGCGGAUAAUCCUACUUAAAUCUACUUAAUGGAGUGCAGUUAAUUUAUACCAAUAGGGGUGAAAUUGCGCUGUUUGAUCAAAUCGACCUAACACACGGCCGAGAUGCAUCCUAGG